rnacentral:rRNA from 1 species
UGAGGAAUAUUGGUCAAUGGGCGAGAGCCUGAACCAGCCAAGUAGCGUGCAGGAUGACGGCCCUAUGGGUUGUAAACUGCUUUUAUGUGGGGAUAAAGUGCGUGACGUGUCAUGCAUUGCAGGUACCAUAUGAAUAAGGACCGGCUAAUUCCGUGCCAGCAGCCGCGGUAAUACGGAAGGUUCGGGCGUUAUCCGGAUUUAUUGGGUUUAAAGGGAGCGUAGGCCGUUUGGUAAGCGUGUUGUGAAAUGUAGGAGCUCAACUUCUAGAUUGCAGCGCGAACUGUCAGACUUGAGUGCGCACAGAGUAGGCGGAAUUCAUGGUGUAGCGGUGAAAUGCUUAGAUAACAUGAAGAACUACGAUUGCGAAGGCAGCUUACGGGAGCGCAACUGACGCUGAAGCUCGAAGGUGCGGGUAUCGAACAGG